rfam:Deltaproteobacteria bacterium GWC2_65_14 gwc2_scaffold_699, whole genome shotgun sequence.
AGCCAGGCCCUCCGCAACGGAAGGCGGCGAACCCCGUCAGGUCCGGAAGGAAGCAGCGGUAGCCGCAACACUCCGUGUGCCGGAGGCACCCCUGGCUGCC